AGAGCAAAGUGAGGACUUAGCUCAUUUUCUUGCCUGACUUCAAGACCAACCGAGAAAGUGAGAGAGAGAGAUUUCUGGUUCCAUUCUUUCCUUUCCAGCCACAACUGAGUGAAUAAGAGGGCAAGGUAGAAAAAAGAGGGAAGCUUGGGAGCAUUUCACCAUAAGGAAUCGAAGGAGGAGAAGGAGGAAGGGGACUGCUUGCUUUUUUCUUCUUUUCCAGCUUUGAUUGUGAGGAAAAAGGGAGGAAGUAGCCGUGAACCAGGAAACCAACUCGAGACUCAAGAAUAGUCAUUUGAACCUUUGGAGUUGGAGAUUGAAAAGUGAUUGGAUGAAAUUGAAAAGUUGUUUUGGAAAAAUCCAUCACUAUGUGUAUAUAUUGGAGUCACGUUUUCUUUUGUAUUUUAAGAUGGUUGAAUUUUCUGUUUUGAGUUGAUGUAAUAUUAAGAAUAGAUGUUUAGAACGUGUAUUUUGUUUCUUUUAGUGGACAAAUCUAUGUUUCAAGCUGAUUAGAGUGGUACUUAAGAGUGAAUGUUCAGUUGUUCAAUAAUAAUGUUAUAUCUGAAGUUAAUAUAAGUGAGCGAGUCCUGACGAGAGACAGGCAGGCGAUCCGCUAACUUCUAGGGUAGGCCCUAGGAGAAGAUGGAGUCGUCACAACUUUCCUAUGAUAUUUUUGUACUCUGUUAUUCAUAGUAA